rnacentral:miRNA from 1 species
UACCCAGAAUGGUGCCGAAUACUUA